CCUGGUUGAUCCUGCCAGUAACAUAUGCUUGUCUCAAAGAUUAAGCCAUGCAGGUCUAAGUGCACACGGCCGGUACAGUGAAACUGCGAAUGGCUCAUUUAAAUCAGUUAUGGUUCCUUUGAUCGCUCCCACACGGACUUGGAUAACUGGGGCAAUUCCAGCGCUAAUACAUGCAAACGAGCGCUGACUGGCCCCCUUCACGGGGGGCUGCGGAUGCGUGCAUUUACAGACCAAAAAACCCAUCCGGGGGCCUCGUGCCCCCGGUGUCCGCCUUUGUGACUCUAGAUAACCUCGGGCCGAUCGCGCGCCCUCGGCGGCGGCGACGUGUCUUUCGAAUGCCUGCCCUAUAACUUUCGAUGGUACUUUCGGCGCCUACCAUGGUGACCACGGGGAACGGGGGAAUCAGGGUUCGAUUCCGGAGAGGGAGCCUGAGAAACGGCUACCACAUCCAAGGAAGGCAGCAGGCGCUCAAAUUACCCAUUACCGACACGUGAGGUAGUGACGAAAAAUAACAAUACAGGCUCUUUCGAGGCCCUGUAAUUGGAAUGAGCGUAUCCUAAACCCAUGGGCGAGGCCCAUUGGAGGGCAAAGUCUGGGGCCAGCAGCCGCGGUAAUUCCAGCUCCCAAUCCAGCAGCCGCGGUAAUUCCAGCUCCAAUAGCGUAUAUUGAAGUUGCUGCAGUUAAAAAGCUCGUAGUUGGAUUUCGGGAGUGGGCUGGCGGUCCGCCCGCGAGGCGUGCCACCGUCUGUCCCGUACCCCUGCCUCCCGGCGCUCCCCGGAUGCCCUUAGCUGGGUGUCCGACGGGGCCCGGAGCGUUUACUUUGAAAAAAUUAGAGUGUUCAAAGCAGGCCGCAGCACGCCUGAAUACCGCAGCUAGGAAUAAUGGAAUAGGACUCCGGUUCUAUUUUUGUGGGUUUUCGGAACCAGGGCCAUGAUUAAGAGGGACGGCCGGGGGCAUUCGUAUUGCGCCGCUAGAGGUGAAAUUCUUGGACCGGCGCAAGACGGACGAAAGCGAAAGCCAUUUGCCAAGAAUGUUUUCAUUAAUCAAGAACGAAAGUCGGAGGUUCGAAGACGAUCAGAUACCGUCGUAGUUCCGACCGUAAACGAUGCCAACUAGCGAUCCGGCGGCGUUUAUUCCCAUGACCCCCCGGGCAGCGUGCGGGAAACCAAAAGUCUUUGGGUCCGGGGGGAGUAUAUGUUGCAAAGCUGAAACUUAAGGAAUUGACGGAAGGGACCACCCAGGAGUGGAGCCUGCGGCUUAAUUUGACCCAACACGGGAAACCUCACCCCGGCCCGGACACGGAAAGGAUUGACAGAUUGAUAGCUCUUUCUCGAUUCUGUGGGUGGUGGUGCAUGGCCGUUCUUAGUUGGUGGAGCGAUUUGUCUGGUUAAUUCCGAUAACGAACGAGACUCCUCCAUGCUAAAUAGUUACGCGGCCCCUGGCGGUCGGCGUUUCAACUUCUUAGAGGGACAAGUGGCGUUUAGCCACGGGGGAUGGAGCAAUAACAGGUCUGUGAUGCCCUUAGAUGUCCGGGGCUGCACGCGCGCCACACUGAGCGGAUCAGCGUGUGCCUACCCUUCGCCUAGAGGCGUGGGUAACCCCGUGAACCCCACUCGUGAUAGGGAUUGGGGAUUGCAAUUAUUUCCCAUGAACGAGGAAUUCCCAGUAAGUGCGGGUCAUAAGCUCGCGUUGAUUAAGUCCAUGGGUGGAUCAGCGUGUGCUACUCUGCGCCGACGGGCGCGGGUAACCCGCUGAACCCCACUCGUGAUUGGGACUGGGGAUUGAAACUAUUUCCAUCAACGAGAAUUCCCAGUAAGCGCGGGUCAUAAGCUCGCGUUGAUU
rnacentral:rRNA from 1 species